rnacentral:rRNA from 1 species
UACGUAGGGUGCAAGCGUUAAUCGGAAUUACUGGGCGUAAAGCGUGCGCAGGCGGUUUUGUAAGUCUGACGUGAAAUCCCCGGGCUCAACCUGGGAAUUGCAUUGGAGACUGCAAGGCUUGAAUCUGGCAGAGGGGGGUAGAAUUCCACGUGUAGCAGUGAAAUGCGUAGAGAUGUGGAGGAACACCGAUGGCGAAGGCAGCCCCCUGGGUCAAGAUUGACGCUCAUGCACGAAAGCGUGGGGAGCAAACAGG